GAUGAACGCUAGCUACAGGCUUAACACAUGCAAGUCGAGGGGAAACGGCAUUUAGUGCUUGCACCGAAUGGACGUCGACCGGCGCACGGGUGAGUAACGCGUAUCCAACCUACCUAUUACUGUGGGAUAACCUGCCGAAAGGCAGACUAAUACCGCAUAGUCUUCGAUGACGGCAUCAGAUUUGAAGUAAAGAUUUAUCGGUAAUGGAUGGGGAUGCGUCUGAUUAGCUUGUUGGCGGGGUAACGGCCCACCAAGGCAACGAUCAGUAGGGGUUCUGAGAGGAAGGUCCCCCACAUUGGAACUGAGACACGGUCCAAACUCCUACGGGAGGCAGCAGUGAGGAAUAUUGGUCAAUGGGCGAGAGCCUGAACCAGCCAAGUAGCGUGCAGGAUGACGGCCCUAUGGGUUGUAAACUGCUUUUGUAUGGGGAUAAAGUCAAUCACGUGUGAUUGUUUGCAGGUACCAUACGAAUAAGGACCGGCUAAUUCCGUGCCAGCAGCCGCGGUAAUACGGAAGGUCCGGGCGUUAUCCGGAUUUAUUGGGUUUAAAGGGAGCGUAGGCCGGAGAUUAAGUGUGUUGUGAAAUGUAGACGCUCAACGUCUGACUUGCAGCGCAUACUGGUUUCCUUAAGUACGCACAACGUUGGCGGAAUUCGUCGUGUAGCGGUGAAAUGCUUAGAUAUGACGAAGAACUCCGAUUGCGAAGGCAGCUGACGGGAGCGCAACUGACGCUUAAGCUCGAAGGUGCGGGUAUCGAACAGG
rnacentral:rRNA from 1 species